AGGUUGUAACCUGCUCCUUUGGUUUGAUGGCUAUGGUACAUAAUCAUUGCUCUCGCGUACUGAGUCGAUUAUGAAGCUCCCAGCCUCGCCAACCAAAAUAGGAGUUUCAGUUAUAUAUUGCCAUGUCAAAUCAUCACACUGAUACAAUACGAACAACACAACAUGAUCAUCGGAUCGAUCGUUGCAAAUUGUCGGUCGAUCGCGCCGCAUGCCCCUUGUAUGCUCCGCUGGGCGCAAGCUGCUUCAACACCACUUAAAUUCAACCCGACAUCACCUAACUUAGUUCACCAUAAAACCCACGCACCGGUAUUAGGAACCCUAAGCAUACCCUCACUCUCUGGUAGGAUCGAGGAUGAUCUCCCGUUAUCAGCUAGAUUGAUCGAUCUUGAGCACCACUCACUUUAGUACCACUCAUCACACUCAUCUCUGAAGCCAAUAAAAUCAUUAUGAGGGUCAACGAGAGCCAUCAGUUAUCGGUUAACCAACAAGCAGACCGCGCGCGUACAAGUUACAAGUACCUAGUUCGUUUAGUUGUGGAUAGUUCGGGUCUGACCGAUAGCGUAGCAAAAAUCAGCAUGAAUACUCCAAGUUCAGCUAUGUGCCCUAGGGAGUAGAGCAAAUUCUGCGAGAUCGGUAAGGCUUAAGCUAGACAAAGUUUAGUAGGGGCCAAGUGUACCAGAGAUUUAAUUUUUAUUCUUGAUGCCUGUUUAGGCCUUUUCUUUGAUCCAACAUCAUGGUGGUGCUUUGUGCCAUGAUUAGGUGGUGUCGUGGUGGUGAUAGCGCCAAGGGCGUGCCAAGCAGCGGGGUUGCCGGCAUGGCGCCGGUGGUAUUUCCCCCCUUCGACUGUCCGGACAGAUCAAGAUGUGCUGUCGCCGUGGGAUACACGCGAACACUAUCACCACACUCAACAUUACCAAUAGGUUAAGGAUAAUUAGGAUAAGUUCAACAAUAUACGUAAGUACACCUCAUUUGAUCACUACAUUUUUUAUCUGGGAAAGUGAAAUUUCUUUUUUGUCUGGGAUGGCUCGUAUAACUUAGCGUGUGGUUCCGCCUUUUAUCGAACCAGAUUUUUGCCAUGGGUCAAGUCAUUGGGUCGGGGGACCAAUGCCCAAGGCAACUCUUCUUCUUUACUACCUAUUUUUGUCUCCGAGUCUCAUGCGCCCUCUGCGGAGCGGUGACAAGGUUUCAAGGGUGUUUUGGGGAGUUUCAGAGGCAUUCCAGGGGACUUGAGAGGUUUUCAUGUGGUUUCAGGGGCGUUUCUGUAGAUUUCAGGAGCGUUCCAGAGAUUUAAAAGGGCUUCUUGCUGGUUAGGUGCUACGUUCACACAGGAACUCAACCUCUUUUCACUUUGAGUAUUCUUUCAGCCCUUCCACAGUGAUUAAUGAAGGGCAUGAAGCUUGCAAUCAAGCUUCAUUUGUUUACGAUACGCUGCCAAACAGAGGUAACAAUGAUCUUUUGUCCCACAAGGGGUUCAUUUUUAACUUGCUUUGGUGGGGCAUUUCUUUUAUUGUUCUCCGUUAUUAAAUGAUAUAGAGACAAAGUUUCAAGCAAUUAAAAAAAUAUGUUCAAUUUAAUUAAAGCCACUUAAGUACAAUAUAAUUAAUUAAUGUACAAAAAACUAUUAUACUAAUUAAAACUUACAUCGACUUUUGAAUUUGGUUGUGGAGCUUAAAGUAUAAAUUAAAA